AUGGUGGAGCGUGAUGAAUCUGAUUUGCCAUUGGUCCUGAGUGACGUCAUCCACAAGGCGGUCAUCGAGGUAAAUGAAGAGGGCACCAUAGCGGCUGCCGUCUCCAUGAGGGUCGCAUAUUGGGCGUCGCCGCCUCCUCCUGUGGAUUUUGUAGCCGACCAUCCGUUUGCGUACUUCAUAGUGGAGGAGGCGACCGACGCGGUUGUCUUUGCGGGGCACGUUCUUGACCCGUCUAACGAGGACUAG
rnacentral:rRNA from 1 species